rnacentral:ncRNA from 1 species
CAAAAGUUUUAUUAAAGCUUAAUAUUUUGGUUAAAUUUUAUUUUACAUGUAAAUUUUAGUGUGAGGUGGCAGGAUGUCUUAAAAAGAUAUUUUUAGUUUAUUUAGUUCGCAGUAGAGAAAUUUGAAUAUCAACUUAUGUUGGAUUCGGGAAUAAUUUUUAGUAUCGGCUAAAUUUGUGCCAGCAGCUGCGGUUAUACAGGUGAUACAACUUAAUUUUUUCGGGUACAGUUAACUUAAAAAUAAUAAUUUUAGAUUAGAGUUUAUUGAGUGAAAUUUUAAAUUUUAUUUAAAAUUUAAUUUUGUUAGUAAGGCUGAGAAAUUUUUUUUAUAAACUAGGAUUAGAGACCCUAUUAUUUUGAAUGUAAAUUUAGUUCCCAGAUUAGUAAUAGAUAUGUUCUUGAAAAUUAAAGAUUUUGGCGGUAUUUUAGUCCAUUCAGAGGAACCUGUCCUGUAAUCGAUGGUCCACGAUUAAUUGUACUUUUUUUAAAAGUUUGUAUAUCGUCGUAGUUUGAAUGUUUUAAAAGAAUAAUAAUGUUCAUAAUAUUUUUUAUAAAGUAAAUCAGAUCAAGGUGUAGCUUAUGAAAAAGAAGAGAUGGGUUACAUUAAAUAUAUUUAAGGAUUAAUUGCUUGAAGGGAAUUAUGAAUUUGGAUUUGAAGGUAAUUUUAAUUGAAUAAUUAAAGUGAUUCUGGCUCUAGAAUAUGCACAUAUCGCCCGUCACUUUCACUCCAAGGUGAAAUAAGUCGUAACAAAGUAGGCUUACUGGAAGGUGAGCCUGGAAAGGC